GACGAACGCUGGCGGCGUGCUUAACACAUGCAAGUCGAGCGGUAAGGCCCUUUCGGGGGUACACGAGCGGCGAACGGGUGAGUAACACGUGGGUGACCUGCCCUCAGCUCUGGGAUAAGCCUGGGAAACUGGGUCUAAUACUGGAUAUGACUCCACGGUGCAUGUCGUGGGGUGGAAAGCCUUGUGCGGCUGAGGAUGGGCCCGCGGCCUAUCAGCUUGUUGGUGGGGUGAUGGCCUACCAAGGCGACGACGGGUAGCCGGCCUGAGAGGGCGACCGGCCACACUGGGACUGAGACACGGCCCAGACUCCUACGGGAGGCAGCAGUGGGGAAUAUUGGACAAUGGGCGCAAGCCUGAUCCAGCGAUGCCGCGUGUGUGAAGAAGGCCUGCGGGUU
rnacentral:rRNA from 1 species